rnacentral:rRNA from 1 species
UCAGGCCUACGGGGCGCAGCAGUGAUGAAUAUUGGUCAAUGGGCGGGAGCCUGAACCAGCCAAGUCGCGUGAGGGAAGACGGUCCUACGGAUUGUAAACCUCUUUUGCCGGGGAGCAACGGGGUCCUUGCGAGGGCCCGAUGAGAGUACCCGGAGAAAAAGCAUCGGCUAACUCCGUGCCAGCAGCCGCGGUAAUACGGAGGAUGCGAGCGUUAUCCGGAUUUAUUGGGCGUAAAGCGAGUGCAGGCGGCUCAAUAA